rnacentral:rRNA from 1 species
UGGGGAAUCUUGCACAAUGGGCGAAAGCCUGAUGCAGCAACGCCGCGUGAGCGAAGAAGGCCUUUGGGUCGUAAAGCUCUGUCCUAAGGGAAGAAGGAAGUGACGGUACCUUAGGAGGAAGCCCCGGCUAACUACGUGCCAGCAGCCGCGGUAAUACGUAGGGGGCAAGCGUUAUCCGGAAUUAUUGGGCGUAAAGAGUACGUAGGCGGUUCCUUAAGCGCAGGGUAUAAGGCUAUAGCUUAACUAUAGUUCGCCCUGUGAACUGGAGGACUUGAGUAUCGGAGAGGAAAGCGGAAUUCCUAGUGUAGCGGUGAAAUGCGUAGAUAUUAGGAGGAACACCAGUGGCGAAGGCGGCUUUCUGGACGAAAACUGACGCUGAGGUACGAAAGCGUGGGGAGCAAACAGGAUUAGAUACC